rnacentral:tRNA from 1 species
GCCUGAGUGGCUCAGUUGGUUGAGGGUCUGACUUUGGCUUAAGUCAUGAUCUCAGUGGACAUGGGUUCCAGCCCCAUGUCAGGCU